CAGUAGCCGCGGUAAUACGAAGGUCCCGAGCGUUGUUCGGAAUCACUGGGCGUAAAGGGAGCGUAGGCGGUAUGGUAAGUCAGAUGUGAAAUCCCGGGGCUCAACCCCGGAACUGCAUCCGAUACUGCCGUGCUAGAGGACUGGAGAGGCAACUGGAAUUCUCGGUGUAGCAGUGAAAUGCGUGGAGAUCGAGAGGAACACUCGUGGCGAAAGCGAGUUGCUGGACAGUAUCUGACGCUGAGGCUCGAAGGCCAGGGUAGCGAAAGGGAUUAGAUACCCCGGUAGUCCCUGUCUCUUAUAC
rnacentral:rRNA from 1 species